rnacentral:rRNA from 1 species
AUCCGCAGGAGUUUAAUUUUGGCUCUGAUUGAACGUUUUUCAGUAGUUUUAAGACAUGCGAAUCAAUGGAUCCUAGGAAACAAUAAGCUGGAGAUUGUGAAUUAUAUUUGGUUACAUUAUAAUAGCGAACUUUGGAUUAUCUAAACUUAGAUUAUUCUAUAGUUAUAACUAUAAAUUAGAUAAUUGCUGUUACUAAUGUAUAAUUUAUUUUAUGCUGUUAGUAAAAAUCUUAAACUUAGAUUAUGCUAUUAGUAAUAUCUAUAGUUUAGAUAGAUGCUAUUAGGGAAUAGGCCAUGGUGUAAAGGUGAGUAAUGGUAAGUUAGAUACUUUAUAGACCUCUCGAAUAGAGGAUAGUUUAAUUAAUUUAAUUAGAUAUAAUUGAGCCUAUAAAAGGCCAACAUCAAAUCUAUUAGUAGGGCAAAUAAGAAAAAUUAUUUAUAUAAAAAUUUAAGUGAAAGAGUCAACAACCUAAGCAAGUUAAAUCUUGAACUUAAAUAAAAUUAAAUAGUUAUAUAAUUAUUUAAUCAACUAGAAUUAAUUAAGCAUAAAUUAGCUUAUUUAUAAUAAAGGAAAGGCUUAACUACUUAUUCUUUAAUCUGUUGGUUUAAGCUAAAGCUUAAAUAAAAAUUUUUGCUUUAGUGCAAAUAAAUCAAAAAGAGAAAGAGUAUAGUUUAAGGUUAAGCAUCGCUAUAAGAAUCGAUUUAUUUUGUUUAAAGGUAGUUGGUAGGGUAAAUGCCUACCAAGCCGAUGAUCAAUAGCCAAGUUUGAUAGAACUGAUGGCCACAUUGGGAAUGAAAAGCCCCAAGUAGAGUAAUCUACCAGCAGUCAAGAAUAUUAGUCAAUGCUCGAAAGAGUGAACUAGCUAACUGAAAUCUUAAGAUCACUUGUAUGUGGUACUUGAGAUAACGUAAGGGAAAACAAUGAUAUUACCUUACUAUAAGUGUUGUCCAAAUCACUGGUGCCAGAAGACUCGGUAACGCCAGAAACGCAAACGUUAGUCGUCCUUAUCAGGCGUAAAGGGUAAGUAGGCAGCUUUGAAAGUUAUUAAUUAGUAAGCUUUUGACUGAUUAAGUCAAAUAUUUUAAUAGUGAAUUAAAGCUAGAAUCAAAAAGAGGAUAAGCCAAAUAAUAUUUAGAGUAGGGAUGAAAUCCGUAGAUACUAAAUGGAAUACUAAAGGUGUAAGCUUUUAUCCAAUAAUGAUUGACGCUGAGGAACGAAGGUGAGAAUAGAAAAUAGGAUUAGAGACCCAGAUAUCUCUCACUGUCAACGAUGAGUGGUAGUUGUUAGUUUUAAAAAAGACUAGUAACGAUGUUAACGCGUUAACCAUUCCGCCUUGCGAGUACGGUUGCAAAACUGAAACCAAAAAAAUUAGUCGGUCUCGAAGCAAACGAAGUGAAGCAUGUUAUUUAAUACGUAAGUACGCGUAAAAUCUUACCAGUUCUUGAAUAAACUCUCAUUAUUAAGUCUUAUAACUAAUUAAAAAAAGUUAUAUAUUCUUAAGGGGGAGUUUACAGGUGUUGCAUGGCUGUCGUCAGUCCGUAUCUUGAGAAGUUAGGUUCGCUCCACUAACGGACGCAAUCCCUAUUGUUUAUUUAUACUUAACAAUUUAUGAAUUCUAAAUGUUUUCAUUGGGGGCUAAGACAAGUCGUUAUGGCUCUAACGAACUGGGCUAUAGACGUGCCACACAAAACUUUUACAAAGUGACGCGAAACUUUAUUUUUUUUAAAAGGAAGAGCUAAUCAUUAAAGAAAGUUAAUUAUAUUUUUUUGAGCAGAUUGUUGCCUGAAACUCGGUAACAUGAAGAAGGAAUUUCGAGUAAUCGUUGAUAAGUACCGCAACGGUGAAGAUUGCAUUCGGGAUGAACUAACUGUCUGUCGCUGGGGAGAAGCUCGGGAUGGGGGAAACUGCCUAUUAAUUAUCACUUCUACAAAUCUUAGCAUUUUUAUUUAUUUAUUGCAAACUUGUAUUUGUUAUAUUUUUUUGUUUUCUGUUUAAUUACAGAAAGGGUAAUUCCUGGUUUGUUGCUUGUUUAGCUUAGGAUUAUCAAGAAUUUAUUUACAACAGACCUGCAUUAUUUUAACUUUACAAGGUUGUAGGUUUUAACCAACAGUAAAUAAUUAUAUUGCUUUAGCAUUGAGUCUUUUUUCUAUCAGCACUUAGAUUGAGAUUUAGAACAAAUUUGUUAAGCUAAUUAAUAUCAGUUAACUCUCUGGAGUAACACCUCAAAAGUCAUAGCAAGGUAGCUGUACUGGAAGGUGCAGCUGGAAAAUAUUUCAA